GCCUGAGUGGCUCAGUGGUAGAGCAUCUGCCUCCCACUCAGAUUGUGAUCCCAGGAUCCUGGGAUCGAGUCCCACAUUAGGCU
rnacentral:tRNA from 1 species